GGAUAACACUAUUUUGCUAUUCCCGGUCAGUAACAUAAUGACAUGUGGAAAAAAUAUCUAACAUGUCAUAUGUUAUUGGCCGGGAAUAACAAAAAAUGUUAUCC
rnacentral:pre_miRNA from 1 species